rnacentral:rRNA from 1 species
UUUAGAGUUUGAUCCUGGCUCAGGACGAACGCUGGCGGUGCGCUUAAUGCAUGCAAGUCGAACGGGCAAAGGGGCUUCGGUCCCGGCGCUAGUGGCAGACGGCUGAGUAACACGUAAGUGAUCUGCCCCGGAGAGGGGGAUAAUCCGGAGAAAUCCGGCCUAAUACCCCGUACGUUCAUAUGGUUACGGCUAUAUGAAGAAAGGUUUAUUCCGCUCUGGGAGGAGCUUGCGGCCUAUCAGGUAGUUGGCGGGGUAAUGGCCCACCAAGCCUAAGACGGGUAACCGAUGUGAGAGCAUGAUCGGUCAGAGGGGGACUGAGACACGGCCCCCACUCCUACGGGAGGCAGCAGCA